GGGAAUAUAACUCAAUAGGUAGAGUAAUGGCUUUGCAAGUCAAAUGUUAGCAGUUCAAAUCUGCUUAUUUCCA
rnacentral:tRNA from 1 species